CUUUUGUGUAUAUGUAACAGGUAUCAAACCACAGUGGAAGUAAGCACAUCUUUUCAAGAAACUUUGGUAAAUAACGGUGAAGCAAAGCCAAAGCAGGUGUUAAAAGAGAUAACACCAUCUCUUCUGGAGAGUAAUGAGACUCAUUUGGAAACUCCGCUGUGGAGAAAUGAAGAGAGGGAGCGGUCUCGAGCCAAGACCAAUUUGGCCCGCAGUAAGUCAGUGGGGAACCUUCAAAACAGCGCUGGGUCCAUAGAGGCCCUGAAGGUUCUGUUUGAGUCAAAGGCAGCCACACAAAACAAGGUGAAGAGCAGCUUCAGAGCUGCAAGUUUCAAAUCACCUUACAAGGCAGCAGGUAUCAUGCCGGUGAUGAAUGGAGAGGUUGAACAGCUAAAGAGCUCUGCAGAGCAACUGAAGACCCAAAUUCCUGCUGACACUCCAGAUGAUGAUGCAAAAAAAGAUAAUCUGACUCGGAAGGUGGUGCAUCAGACCCGGAUGGAGAGGAGAAAAACAAUAGGGGGUAUUGAUUUUGAAAAAAUUGCAGCCUCUCAAGAUGGUGAGUACCAGACAACAUUCAUCAAAGUGCACCCCGCCAACCUGACUGCUAUUUAUUUCUACCUACUGCCCAAUAAAGCUGGGAAAUAAUUGUUCAGGUCUACUCUAUUGAGUAGUUAUUGUAUGGUGAGGGACAUUUGAUUAGCAGACAGAGUAAACACAAAACAACUCUCUAUAUGGCAAUAAUAAAAUAAUCUACAAAUUGACUACAUUUAUACACUUCCAAGACAAGGACCAGUUGAGAUACUGUGCUGUAGACUACAGUCCUGAUUAAGGUUGUAAAGGAACUGGAACUGGCAUC
rnacentral:lncRNA from 1 species